GAUGAACGCUAGCGGCAGGCUUAAUACAUGCAAGUCGUGGGGCAGCAUGAGUAGCAAUACUUGAUGGCGACCGGCAAACGGGUGCGGAACACGUACACAACCUUCCGAUAAGUGGGGAAUAGCCCAGAGAAAUUUGGAUUAAUACCCCGUAACAUAUAGAGUAGGCAUCUUCUUUAUAUUAUAGCUUCGGCGCUUAUUGAUGGGUGUGCGUCUGAUUAGGAAGUUGGCGGGGUAACGGCCCACCAAGCCUACGAUCAGUAGCUGAUGUGAGAGCAUGAUCAGCCACACGGGCACUGAGACACGGGCCCGACUCCUACGGGAGGCAGCAGUAAGGAAUAUUGGACAAUGGGCGAAAGCCUGAUCCAGCCAUGCCGCGUGAAGGAUUAAGGUCCUCUGGGUUGUAAACUUCUUUUAUUUGGGACGAAAAAAGGGAAUUCUUUCCACUUGACGGUACCAAGUGAAUAAGCACCGGCUAACUCCGUGCCAGCAGCCGCGGUAA
rnacentral:rRNA from 1 species